AUUGAACGCUGGCGGCAUGCCUUACACAUGCAAGUCGAACGGCAGCACGGGGGCAACCCUGGUGGCGAGUGGCGAACGGGUGAGUAAUACAUCGGAACGUGCCCAGUAGUGGGGGAUAGCCCGGCGAAAGCCGGAUUAAUACCGCAUACGACCUACGGGUGAAAGUGGGGGAUCGCAAGACCUCGCGCUAUCGGAGCGGCCGAUGUCAGAUUAGGUUGUUGGUGGGGUAAAAGCCUACCAAGCCGGCGAUCUGUAGCUGGUCUGAGAGGACGACCAGCCACACUGGGACUGAGACACGGCCCAGACUCCUACGGGAGGCAGCAGUGGGGAAUUUUGGACAAUGGGCGCAAGCCUGAUCCAGCCAUGCCGCGUGCGGGAAGAAGGCC
rnacentral:rRNA from 1 species